GUGAAGGUGUGUGGUCUACGAUUGGUUGAUUUAGGGUUCAUUGUUUUUGAUUUUGCAGACUGAUUUGGUACUUUUUACUCUCACGCAGAGAUAAAAUUUGCCCUAGUGCUCAAAAUGCCUCUCACCAGCCCAUCUCUAUUUGGGCUUCAUUGUUCGAGUGAGGUUUUUGUUAGGCAGUCGAUUAAAAGGAGGGAGGGGUCAAUGGUCUUCUAUUGCCAUUUAAAACCCUGAAGCUCUUUUGUUGCUGCCGUUGCUGGAGUUGCUAGACAGCAUGAAGUACAGAGUGUUCGAGUGAAAACCCAGAAGUAAUGAAACCGAUCCAUUCGUGGUUUAUACGAGUCCUCGAAGCCGGUGUGAGCCAUAGACUGAAUGGGUAGAAAUCUAAAACAAAAACCCCCAAAUUGGUUCUUCGAAUAAGAGCAUAAUCUGUUGCCCCUCGUUCACAAUCAUCCCGGAAUGACUGUUGAGUGAGCUACGAUAUGGCACAAUCAACCUGACCGGUAAUCCUCGUGGAGGGAAAGGUUGAUCAUUUAUACCUCAAUAUUCUAUCAUGCAUCAGUCAUCACAAGACAACUUUACCUAUCGGUUGUCCUUAAUUGGAGUAGUUUAGCUAGUUUAGUUCAUUCAGUCUGCAUGUUUAGUUCUAGUUUUUGUUCUAGUUUCCGUUUAAAUCAUGAAAGUGAAAUCAAAAUGAAGGCUUUUGAUAUAGUGAAUGUUUGAACAAGAGUAAGUCUUUCAUAGGCCGAUAAAAAAAAAAAGGUCUUCCAUAGUAUUGAUUUGGUUCAAUUCUGAAGUGUGUUUGUCUUAUACAUGUUUCCAGAUUAUAUUGCUUAAUUAACAUAUUUCAAUGGAUGAUAUUGUUUAGUUGACAUUUGCCAUCUAUUUACCUUACAUCCAUGCUAAUGGCUACUCCACACCGAGGUUGAGCCAUGAUGAUUGAGGCUGAUGUAAUACUCCGCUCCGAGGUUAACUCAUGCAAAAAUAUGGUGCAUUUUGUGGCAAACAUUUGACUCGGCGAGGUACUUUAGCAUGUGCAACUCAAUUAUAUAAAAUGGGCCUCUUUCACUGACAGCUUCAAGUUAUCCCCUUCUUAUUUUUGCAAACUGAUUCAUAUCCCCUAUAACUUCCUUGCCAGCUUACAAUUAAGACUGGGACACAACCUAAGGGCUCUCAAUCCGUAAGAAUAUUACACAAUCUGUAUAAUAUCCCUUCCUUGCAUCGGCAGAGUUUAAGCUAGUUCUCUCUCUACUUAGAUCUGUUUAUUUAUCAUUGCGUAUAUAUCCGUCUAUCAGAAUUUUGUCCCUUGUCAAUUUCUUGACCUUAAAUUAGGGUUUGGUAAAAUCAAGAUACUCAAUCCAAGGGAAUAUGAGGCAAAUUGUCAUUAAACUGCUAGAGCUGGGAAUGAUUUAGUAUAAUCUUAGAGCUGGGGAGUUCCUGUUCAUGAUGACAAGUAUGUUACCGUCACCGAUGCUUUUAAGUCAGAUGGAAUUCCUUUCUUUCUUUUUUUUUUGUGAACCAAAUUUCCCAUUUAAUAUUGCAGGAAACUCUUUGAAUUGCUCGUCGUGUCCACUGCUUUUGCUGAACUGUCAUGGCUUGCCAUUCUCAGCAAAAGGAAUGCGUUUAGGGAAGUCUUUCUGGACUUCAACCAAAAUGCAGUCGCUAAAUUGAAUGAGAAAAAGAUACUCCAGCAAGCACUCUUAUAUCAGAGGUGAAGCUACGAGCUACCAUUGAAAAUGCACGUCAAAUGAGCAAAGUAAGUAAGGAAAUGGAGUUGCUUUUUGGAAGCUAACCAAGAUGGAGUUGAAGACUUUUUGGCAGUUAUUUUUGAAAGCUGACCAAGAUGGAGAUGGAGUUGAAGACUUUUUGGUAGUUAUUUUUGGAAGCUAACCAAGAUGGAGUAAAUGGAACACUUGUUUUGAAUUCUUUUUGGAUAUGGAUGUUCUGUAGUUUCGGUAAUGUUAAGUUUGAAGUGGUUAUUGUUGGAGGAUGAAUGUUUUGAAACGUUUUGAAGUUGGAUGAUGAAUGUUGACUUAAUGGAUAUUUGAUUUAAAUGAUAUUUUGCUUCUUCGCAAUUUAA